CAUAGCGUUGUGGACCCACCUGAUUCCAUGCCGAACUCAGAAGUGAAACACAAUAGCGCCGAUGGUAGUGUGGGGCUUCCCCAUGUGAGAGUAGGACAUCGCCAGGC
rnacentral:rRNA from 1 species